rnacentral:rRNA from 1 species
UACGUAGGGUACAAGCGUUAAUCGGAAUUACUGGGCGUAAAGCGUGCGCAGGCGGUGAUGUAAGACAGAUGUGAAAUCCCCGGGCUCAACCUGGGAACUGCAUUUGUGACUGCAUCGCUGGAGUGCGGCAGAGGGGGAUGGAAUUCCGCGUGUAGCAGUGAAAUGCGUAGAUAUGCGGAGGAACACCGAUGGCGAAGGCAAUCCCCUGGGCCUGCACUGACGCUCAUGCACGAAAGCGUGGGGAGCAAACAGG